GGGAUUGAGGGAAGGGAAAGAAGCUGCGGAAAAGAAGAAAAAAAAAAGAAGAGAAAAGGCUAGCAACCUCAUGCUACAAUAUUGUUGUUGUUCCUAGCUACUGUUAUUUCAGAUUUUCAGAGACAGGAAUAGACACAUGUAAGGAUUCCGUUAAUUAGAGUAUACGAGUUGGCAGUUCCUGAAUGACAGUUGGCGAAGAAUAGUUGAAGAGGCGUGAGCUUUAACAGGCACAGACAAAGAUCCAAGAAAACCAGAGGAAUGGGUGCUCGAACCUCUUGAUAAUUUGAAGAAGCAU